CUAGUACUCCCUCUGUUCAGAAUUACUUGUCUCGUAUAUGGAUGUAUCUAGAAUUAAAAUACGUCUAGAUAUAUCCAUUUCUGCGACAAGUAAUUCCGAACAGAGAGGGUACAUG
rfam:Triticum aestivum genome assembly, contig: Triticum_aestivum_CS42_TGACv1_scaffold_486754_6AS